rnacentral:rRNA from 1 species
AUUCCAGCUCCAGUAGCGUAUAUUAAAGUUGUUGCAGUUAAAAAGCUCGUAGUUGGAUUUCUGACUUCAGAUACCUGGCCCUCCCUCGCUAGAGGUGUGUGUGCCGGAGUAUUUGUAUCAUCCUUUCAGUGAUCGGCUCUACCCUUAACCGGGUCGGAGCUGCUAGCUGGAUCUUUAACUUUGAAGAAAUUGGAGUGUUUAAAGCAGGCUUACGCCAGAACAUAUUAGCAUGGAAUAAUAAUUUAGGACUUUUGUUCUAUUUUGUUGGUUUCUAGGACGAAAGUAAUGAUUGAUAGGGAUAGUUGGGGGUGCUAGUAUUCGGCGGCCAGAGGUGAAAUUCUUUGAUCCGCUGAAGACUAACUUAUGCGAAAGCAUUCACCAAGGAUGUCUUCAUUA